AUUGAACGCUGGCGGCAUGCCUUACACAUGCAAGUCGAACCGCAGCACGGGUGCUUGCACCUGGUGGCGAGUGGCGAACGGGUGAGUAAUAUAUCGGAACGUACCUUAUUGUGGGGGAUAACGCAGCGAAAGCUGUGCUAAUACCGCAUAAUCCCUAAGGGGGAAAGCGGGGGACCGUAAGGCCUCGCGCAAUUAGAGCGGCCGAUACCUGAUUAGCUAGUUGGUGAGGUGAAGGCUCACCAAGGCAACGAUCAGUAGCUGGUCUGAGAGGACGAUCAGCCACACUGGGACUGAGACACGGCCCAGACUCCUACGGGAGGCAGCAGUGGGGAAUUUUGGACAAUGGGGGCAACCCUGAUCCAGCAAUGCCGCGUGAGUGAAGAAGGCCUUCGGGUUGUAAAGCUCUUUUGUCAGGGAAGAAACAGCAGCUCUAACACAGUUUGCGAAUGACGGUACCUGAAGAAUAAGCACCGGCUAACUACGUGCCAGCCGCCGCAGUAA
rnacentral:rRNA from 1 species